rnacentral:lncRNA from 1 species
UAAUCUUGGAUUGAUGUUGCUAAAGAUUACACCACUGCAUUUGGUGGAUUCGUUCUUGGUAUUGGUUAACAAGAAGGAUGAGAAUCCGAGUCUAGAUUCGACUUGCCAGUUUAUUCAUAUUAGGAGAAAUAACGGAGAAAUUGUCCUUGAUUGAUUUUUGGGAGCCAAAAUUGAGUGUUAAUUUAGGGUUUGUUCUUGCGUAAAUCGCAUGAUAAAGGAUUCCUAAAUCAAGUCGAUUCACUUCCAGGAAGACGGUGAUGAUGCUGGUGACCUGAAGAGGAACGAUGAGAAUGACAUGGGUUGAUUUAGGGUUUCUCUUGGUCUUAUGAAGGUGGUGGUUUAACACCACAACGAAAAGUCGACGGCUAGGUUUCCAGCAGCACAUAGAUCUGACCAAUUGUGGUUUCGGCCAGUAUCGGUUUUUUCAUACGUGUUGCCGGAUUUUGAGACAUGGAAUCAAUGAUAUUUUGGCCUUGAAUAAUAGUUGAAUUGAGAGAGAGAGAGAGAGAGAGAGAGAUAGAUGACGGGGAUGGUGAUGCUAACAAGAGGAGGGUGAGGAGGUGGUGAAGGAAGAGCGAUUGCCGAGCAGUUUUUGGCGACAAUGACAGAUGCGAAGCUGUAUGCUGAGCGUUUCGCUGACCUUGCUGAAAAAUUGGGCUUUGAUGGGUGGCUGCUAAUUCAACAACGCUGCUGUGCAAAACACGGUCGUUGUUUUAGCCGUUCGUGGAUUCAAUUGCAAGGUCUCGAUGGAUCUGUCACUCUUCAG